CCUACGGGAGGCAGCAGUGAGGAAUAUUGGUCAAUGGACGAGAGUCUGAACCAGCCAAGUAGCGUGAAGGAUGACUGCCCUAUGGGUUGUAAACUUCUUUUAUAUGGGAAUAAAAUGUUCCACGUGUGGGAUUUUGUAUGUACCAUAUGAAUAAGGAUCGGCUAACUCCGUGCCAGCAGCCGCGGUAAUACGGAGGAUCCGAGCGUUAUCCGGAUUUAUUGGGUUUAAAGGGAGCGUAGGUGGAUUGUUAAGUCAGUUGUGAAAGUUUGCGGCUCAACCGUAAAAUUGCAGUUGAAACUGGCAGUCUUGAGUACAGGAGAGGUGGGCGGAAUGCGUGGUGUAGCGGUGAAAUGCUUAGAUAUCACGAAGAACUCCGAUUGCGAAGGCAGUUCACUGGACUGCAACUGACACUGAGGCUCGAAAGUGUGGGUAUCAAACAGGAUUAGAUACCCCGGUAGUC
rnacentral:rRNA from 1 species